GGCGCCCACCGUAAGCCUCCCGGGCCUUGUGAACCUGCAAACCCAAGUCUGAGAGACGAUCCGCCUUCAGCGCUUUCCAGCUUGGCAGAGAGGCUUUCCCGGCGGGGAUCUUUGGUUGGCGCUGGCGAUGCGCGGGGAAGAAAGGCGAGGAGCGGCGUCCAGGCUGGGUGAUGUCCCAGCACGAGUAGGCGGGAUGCGCUCGCUUGGUCCUCCGGGCGCCCGGUCCCUGCCCGCGUCGCGCGCCCACCCCUGGGGACGAGAAGGCGGCCGCCUGAGGACCCCCGCCCGCGACCUCCGCGAGUCUGGAGCGCAGAGGACAGGGUCUGGCUGCUCUUUGGCCUUGGAUGGAAAGUGGGGAAUUGGGUGGGGGGCUGCGGACCCCUUAACGUGGAUUACUUGGUGUGUAUCAGCUGGGCUCAGAAGACCCACGACCUCUUCUCCAUCCGUGGAUUGAUUUGUUCUGCUUAACAGCUGGGUCGCCAAGCUGGAGGUGGAAUCAGAGGUUUCUGGCUGACUCGGUGGGUGCUUUGAACCAGGAAAGGACAAGAAAGAGGAACUCUGAAAGCCACAUGUUGAGAUGGCCCCAUUACAGGAUGGAGAGCACCUGAACCCCCAAGUUAUGGACUAGAAGAAGACAGUUGCCCUGGAAAAUCAUCUGACCCACAUUGGACUUUAUGUGAGGGGGAAAUAAACCUUUAUUAUGUUAAGCUACACAAUAAUAAAUAACAACAAUAAUUGUGUUUAUUUGU
rnacentral:lncRNA from 1 species